GUCAAGUCAUCAUGGCCCUUAUGGGCAGGGCUACACACGUGCUACAAUGGCGAAUACAAAGGGUUGCGAACUCGCGAGACGGAGCAAAUCCCAUCAAAGCCGGUCCCAGUUCGGAUUGCAGGCUGAAACUCGCCUGCAUGAAGCCGGAAUCGCUAGUAACGGUAGGUCAGCACACUACCGUGAAUACGUUCCCGGGUCUU
rnacentral:rRNA from 1 species